rnacentral:rRNA from 1 species
UACGUAGGGCGCAAGCGUUAUCCGGAAUUAUUGGGCGUAAAGAGCUCGUAGGCGGUUUGUCGCGUCUGCCGUGAAAGUCCGGGGCUCAACUCCGGAUCUGCGGUGGGUACGGGCAGACUAGAGUGUUGCAGGGGAGACUGGAAUUCCUGGUGUAGCGGUGAAAUGCGCAGAUAUCAGGAGGAACACCUGAGGCGAAGGCGGGUUGCUAGCCUGACACUGACGCUGAGUGCGCGAAAGCCAGGGGAGCAAACGGG